AAGCACUCACGCCAAAGUCACAGGCAAAGUCUUCGGCAAACGGCGAAGAAAACAUCUAAACAUCUAAAAUGGCUACACAGAAUAAAAUAAUGCCAAUUUUGAGCCAAUGUGAACACUGCAAACUAUGGUUGAUCUGUCCACCGAGCUGCGGGCAUAAAGUACAUCUAUCUUUGGUAGAAGAGAGGCUUGUGGAAUGCUUGCCAUUUCAAUGUCCCAUAUGCUUAUGUUUUUAACGAAGAAGUCGACAGAUUUCUCGAAGAUUUUUUUGAAGUGAUCGUUGCUAGUUUUUUCCAAUAAAAUAAAAAU